GGGAUGCCACCACAGCAGGGCUUGAUGAGUGGUGUAGGUCUGUGCCCAGGAUCCAAACCCGUGAACCUAGGCCAUAGAAGUGGAGUGUGCUGAGGUUAACCACUAUGCCCUGGGCUGGUCCCAAAUAUGGUCCUUUUUUUAUCCACCCUGUCAAUCUCUGCCUUUACCUGGACUAUUUAGAGACCAUUAAUAUUUAAGGUAAUUAUUGAUAUGGUAGGAUUCAGGUCUACCAUUUUAUUAUAUGUUUUCUGUUUGCUCCUCUAUUUCCUUGUAUCUCUGUUCUCCCUUUCCUUCCUUCUUUUGGAUCAUUUGAAUAUUUUAAAUUAUCUAUUGGAUUUUAGGCUAUUACCUCUUUGGAUUUUCGUUUUGAUUUAGUAGUUGCUCUAGAGUUUACAAUAUAUAUAACUAAUUUUUCAUAGUCUACUUAGAAUAAAAAUUGUACUACCUGACAUAAAAUGUAGAAGCAUGGCAACCACACGGGUCCUUAUCCCCCAAACUUUGUUAUAGUUGUAUAUCGAUUAAUUUACAUACAUUGCAACCCUCACCAAUGGUAUAAUUUUUGCUUCCAACAAAAUAUAUAUUUUAAAUAUACAUAUAUGUUUCAAUAGAUUUUAAAGAAGAGGGAAAAAAUAGCCUUUUAUAUUUAUCUGGAUAUUUACCAUUUGUUGCUCUUUCUUCAUUUCCAGAGAUCCAAGUUUCCUGGUAUCAUUUCCCUUCAGUAUGAGGAACUUCCUUCAGCAUUUCUUGCAGAGACAGAAAGGUGCAGUUGACCACUUCAAACAGUCUAUCUGUUUGAUCACGAUCUUCAGCCCUGUAGAAGAACUUGGAAGACACAUCUUUACCUGAAAAUCUUGAAAGGUCUUCUUGGAGCAACCGAGGCCAUGGAGAACAGCUUCUGGAGGGCGGCUCUCCCUCUGGAUUAUGAACUGGUGAACCUAGAAGGGAAACUUCCUGCUACAAUAACACAGCAAGGCGAUGUGAUGAACACUUUUAUUUACAAAUAUAAUUAAAAGCUCUGACAGUUAUCAUGCUCUUCCUUGGGACCUGAAAAAUGUUUUUGUUUUUGUUUUUAAAGUGCAUGCAAAAGAAGUAAAGCCUUUUUUUUUUCAUCAUUUUUUAUUGUAAGAAAAUACACAGUUUGAAAGUGUGAAUAAUGCAAUAUUUAUGACCAAGAUAUGGGACUUAGGGAGGGGAAGGGAAAUAAAGAAAAAGAUCAAGAUGAUCUGAUUGAGAGACAGUGUUGAACUCCAAAUACUGAAUUGGAAAAGGAGGGAGGUGGGGAGGAAUAGGAGGAGGAAGUAAAAAAAUUU